AACGCGAAGAACCUUACCUGGGCUCGAACGGCUUUGGAAAACCGUGGAAACACGGUCCUCCCCUUAAAAGGACCGGAGUCGAGGUGCUGCAUGGCUGUCGUCAGCUCGUGUCGUGAGAUGUUGGGUUAAGUCCCGCAACGAGCGCAACCCUUGUCCUGUGUUGCCACUCCCGCAAGGGAAGCACUCUCAGGAGACCGCCAGCGAUAAGCUGGAGGAAGGUGGGGAUGAUGUCAAGUCAUCAUGGCCUUUAUGUCCAGGGCUACACACGUACUACAAUGCCCAGUACAGAACGAUCCGAGACCGCGAGGUGGAGGAAAUCUAGUAAAACUGGGCCCAGUUCGGAUUGGAGUCUGCAACUCGACUCCAUGAAGCCGGAAUCGCUAGUAAUGGCGUAUCAGCUACGACGCCGUGAAUACGUUCCCGGGCCUUGUACACACCGCUCGUC
rnacentral:rRNA from 1 species